UGGCUCAGUUGGUAGAGCAUGGUGUGUGCAACGCCAGGGUUGUGGGUUCAAUCCCCAC
rnacentral:tRNA from 1 species